GAUGAACGCUGGCGGCGUGCCUAAUACAUGCAAGUCGAGCGAACAGACGAGGAGCUUGCUCCUCUGACGUUAGCGGCGGACGGGUGAGUAACACGUGGAUAACCUACCUAUAAGACUGGGAUAACUUCGGGAAACCGGAGCUAAUACCGGAUAAUAUAUUGAACCGCAUGGUUCAAUAGUGAAAGACGGUUUUGCUGUCACUUAUAGAUGGAUCCGCGCCGCAUUAGCUAGUUGGUAAGGUAACGGCUUACCAAGGCAACGAUGCGUAGCCGACCUGAGAGGGUGAUAGGCCACACUGGAACUGGGACACGGUCCAGACUCCUAAGGGAGGCAGCAGUAGGGAAUCUUCCGCAAUGGGCGAAAGCUUGACGGAGCAACGCCGAGUGAGUGAUGAAGGUCUUCGGAUCGUAAAACUCUGUUAUUAGGGAAGAACAAAUGUGUAAGUAACUAUGCACGUCUUGACGGUACCUAAUCAGAAAGCCACGGCUAACUACGUG
rnacentral:rRNA from 1 species